AAUUAGCCCAGAUCGAAGUGAAAAGCCCAGACUGCAAAAAAAUAAUUUUUCUUGUCCUGAAAGAGCGACCAACGGGAGCUCCUUUCAGGAUAUAGAAAAUGUUUUUUUAAGGGAGGACUUGAAGCGGAGUGCUGGAUUAGCU
rnacentral:misc_RNA from 1 species